ensembl:snRNA Gm22960 U6 spliceosomal RNA
GCGCUCUCUUUGGCAGCACAUACACUAAAAUUGGAAUGAUACAGAGAUUAGCAUGGUCCCUGCACAAGGAUGGCACACAAAACAAGGAACUAGAGAUGACUCUG